GUUUUGUAGCAAUAUGGAGCUUCUCAGUGGCGAACGGGCGAGUAACGAGUUGGUGACCUGCCCCGAAGUGUGGGAUAACAGUCCGAAAGGAUUGCUAAUACCGCAUGUGAUCAUCGGUUUUAGAAUCUGAUGAUUAAAGCAGUAAUGCGCUUCGGGAGGGACCUGCUUCCCAUCAGCUAGUUGGUGAGGUAAUGGCCCACCAAGGCUACGACGGGUAAGGGACCUGAGAGGGUGGUCCCUCGCAAUGGCACUGAAACACGGGCCAUACACCUACGGGUGGCAGCAGUAGGGAAUAUUGGGCAAUGGGCGAAAGCCUGACCCAGCAACGCCGCGUGCACGAUGAAGGCCUUCGGGUCGUAAAGUGCUUUUCUGAGGGAUGAGUAAGGACAGUACCUCAGGAAUAAGCCUCGGCUAACUACGUGCCAGCAGCCGCGGUAAAACGUAGGAGGCGAGCGUUAUCCGGAUUUACUGGGCGUAAAGCGUGUGUAGGCGGUUCGGCAAGUUGGAUGUGAAAGCUCCUGGCUUAACUAGGAGAGGUCGUUCAAUACUACCAAACUUG
rnacentral:rRNA from 1 species